rnacentral:piRNA from 1 species
UAAGCCGCCAUGGGAUAUACAAUUUGUUC